rnacentral:rRNA from 1 species
AACGAACGCUGGCGGCAUGCCUAACACAUGCAAGUCGAACGAGACCUUCGGGUCUAGUGGCGCACGGGUGCGUAACGCGUGGGAACCUGCCCUUAGGUUCGGAAUAACUCCCCGAAAGGGGUGCUAAUACCGGAUAAUGUCUUCGGACCAAAGAUUUAUCGCCUUUUGAUGGGCCCGCGUUGGAUUAGCUAGUUGGUAGGGUAAAAGCCUACCAAGGCGACGAUCCAUAGCUGGUCUGAGAGGAUGAUCAGCCACACUGGGACUGAGACACGGCCCAGACUCCUACGGGAGGCAGCAGUGGGGAAUAUUGGACAAUGGGCGAAAGCAUGAUCCAGCAAUGCCGCGUGAGUGAUGAAGGCCUUAGGGUUGUAAAGCUCUUUUACCCGGGAUGAUAAUGACAGUACCGGGAGAAUAAGCUCCGGCUAACUCCGUG